GCGUGUCCUUCAUUUAUUUGUUAACCGUUUAUGGUAUUAUUUACAGGCGGGGUCGCAUCCCACCGCUCUGGAUCCGCGGAAUGGAGAGUAAACGGAGGAGGGUUCCCCGGGGAGGGGAGAGGAACGCGUCCGAGCCCGGCUGUCAGUCUGGGUGCUCUGUGCGCCGCUUUUUUCCCUUUCGAGGUCUGGAGCAGCGUGUCGGGGCGGGGCUCAGCCUCACCCUGGCUGAGCCUCGGGCUGCAGGCCUUUCCUGCACAGACUCUGCGCUCGGCCUGAACUUGACCGCAGGCUGGAGGCGCCUGCGGAGCGAAUGUGGUGGGCUGGGUCGGAAGGAGGAAGAGACCUCGGAAGGGACGACGGACGCGAGAAGACAGCACCUGCCUGCUCGUGUUUCCCUUUCGCGCGGCCCAGAGUCGCCCAGCAGCAAACCCCGGACGCGAGGAUGCCGCGGGGCUCGAGCUCCGCGCCGUCGCUGCUGCCGCGGCAGGGCUGAGGGCGACGGGGCGACAGCCGGAAUCUGUACGCGGAGCGGGUGGUUGGCAGGCGAGACCGCGCGGCGGAAAGUGCGGUACCCCAGCCGCCUGCAGUGCCGCGCGGUCCGGACGCGGUGCUUCCUGCGCGUGUUGCCCUGGCCACUCAUCUGUCUGAGCCCGGGAGCCGCGCCCAGGAUCGCCAACUGUCCAAAGUUGCAUCAGUUUUCUGGAAGACAGCCCGUUGUUCCACUGACCUUUUUCUUCAUUCCUGAGCCCGCUGGAGUUAUGUCCACAGCCGCCUUAAUUACUUUGGUUAGACGCGGCGGGACCCAAGUGAGAAGCAGAGCGCUGCUCAGCGGCCGCCUGCUGCAGGACGGCAGGUGGGGGGUGACGCCCACGUGCCCCGGCUCCACGUCGGAGCCCAGGUGUUCACGGUUUGAUCCCGAUGGUAGCGGCCGGCCGGCCACCUGGGAUAAUUUCGGCUUCUGGGAUAACCGCAUAGACGAGCCAAUUUUGCUGCCGCCCAGCAUCAAGUACGGCAAGCCGAUUCCCAAAGUCAGCUUGGCGAACGUGGGCGGCGCCUCGCAGAUCGGCAAACGCAAAGAGAACGAAGACCGCUUUGACUUCGCUCAGCUCACGGACCAGAUCCUGUACUUUGCGGUGUAUGACGGCCACGGCGGGCCCGCCGCUGCCGAUUUCUGCCACACCCACAUGGAGCAGUGCAUCCUGGAUUUGCUUCCUAAGGAGCAGGACUUGGAGACUGUGUUGACCUUGGCUUUUCUAGAAAUAGAUAAAGCCUUUGCAAGGCACGCCCACCUCUCUGCUGAUGGCAUAUAGAGUUCCCAGCCAGGGAUUAGUUAUCAACUUUUUCUGUUUGCAUGGAGCCUUGUUACUGAGUUAAGUACUUCUUUCUCUGCAUGCUCUUACUUACAUAGUUCAUUUGCAUUUUAUUUGCAUAGCUCUAGUUAAAUUAGAAUGAUGCAUUUCAGCAUUAGUUUGACAUGCCUGUGUUUUAUUUUGUAAUAAUAAUUCCAUUGCCAAUCAUUUGACUGUCACUGACUGUACUCUUUAUCAUAAUGUUUGCAGCAACCCUUCUGACUUCUGGGACUACUGCAACAGUAGCCCUGUUGAGAGAUGGCAUUGAACUGGUUGUAGCCAGUGUUGGGGACAGCCGAGCUAUUUUGUGUAGAAAAGGAAAACCCAUGAAGCUGACCAUUGACCAUACUCCGGAAAGAAAAGAUGAAAAAGAAAGGAUCAAGAAAUGCGGAGGUUUUGUAGCUUGGAAUAGUUUGGGGCAGCCUCACGUGAAUGGCAGGCUUGCGAUGACCAGGAGUCUUGGAGAUUUGGAUCUUAAAACCAGUGGUGUGAUAGCAGAACCCGAAACAAGAAGGAUUAAGCUACAUCACGCUGAUGACAGCUUCCUGGUCCUCACCACAGAUGGAAUUAACUUCAUGGUGAACAGUCAAGAGAUUUGUGACUUUGUCAACCAGUGCCACGACCCCAGUGAAGCAGCCCAUGCAGUGACUGAACAGGCAAUCCAGUAUGGUACUGAAGAUAACACUACCGCAGUAGUGGUGCCCUUUGGCGCUUGGGGAAAAUACAAGAACUCUGAAGUCACCUUCUCGUUCAGCAGAAGCUUUGCCUCCAGCGGACGAUGGGCCUGACACUUGCUGGGACUUAGAGUUUCUGUGUGACAGCUUUCACUGAGUGUGUCAAGAAACUGAUGAGAUCACAGAAGUCACCUGUACUGGGGUAACUCUAGGACUGUAGACCAGCACACAGAUCAGUGUCAAAGUCGUAACCAUUUACGUGGUAGUUUUUCAUAAAUACUUGUCAUAUUUAUGUUUAGCCAAUUGUACAUACUUAGUAUGAAUAGAUGUGUAAUUCAGCUAUGGUGAGUGAGUCUCUGAGUUGAGUGAGCAAAUGAAAAAUGUUUUUGAUACACUUACUGAGUGCUAAAUUUCUAUUUCUUUCUUUUUUUUUUUUUUUUUCAAUGGCCACCACUGCGGCAUGUGUGGUUCCCAGCCCAAGGAUUGAAUCUGAGCCACAGCUGUGGCCCACGCCAGAUCCUUUAACACACUGUGCUGGGCCCAGGGAUCGAACCCGUGCCUCUGCAGCCUCCCUAGCUGCUGCAGUUGAAUUUAGCAACCCCUCAAUUUCUAAUCUUUACAACUCUUAGGCAGCUAUGAGUUUCUCAUGAUCAUUUCUGAUCUUUAUUCAUUUGACCAGUUUCUUGCCAAGUUCUUACAAACUGAGUAUUUUGACAGCUACUCAAUGUGAUAUCUGCAAGUGUUUAUUUUUAAUAACUGUACCAAGGAGUACAUAUGAAAACAGUUCUCUGUUUGUAUUUUGUAGUCCAGAUCACUUAUUGGUAAAUGUACCAAUGCAGAAGAAAUUAAUUCAGCUGAUAAGACACCACUAAACUGCAUACAAAUGUACAACAGUGCACUUAGAUAUUUCAACCGUGUCACCAGGUCUCCUCUGCCCUCACCCAAUUCAUUCCUAUUUUUCUGUAGCUAAGAAUGUUAUUAUAUAGAUGUGACUUUUCCUUCAUAUCAGAAAAGAAUAUCCAGGCUAAGAGUUCUUUGGUCAAAGUGAUACAAAUAAUAUCCAAUAUUUUGUAUCAUGUUUCCAUUUGUUAUCUCUAAUUAUUUUGUGUUUCAUAAAUAGUAUGUUUAUAUCGCUUUUUGUAUAGAGUCAGCAAGUCAAAUAAUUUGUCAGUAAAAAUAAUCCUACACUGACUGAUAAUUGCUACAAACAUAGCUUGAGGGUCCUGUCUCCUAAGAGAGUAAAUCUAUGAAAAAUAAUAAAACAUUAUCUAUUUCAGCUUGCUAUGUAAUUUAGGAGUGUAAAACUAUAUUUCCUUAUAUCUGUAUGUAAGUUUGCUGUUAAAAUGUGAAUUUCUAAAUGUGCGUAUGAGAUUGUAUCUGCAGCUUAUUUCUGCAGGCAAUGUGAAUUUUUAUGUGUAUGUACAUAUGUAUAUUUUGGAUUAAUGGAAAAUGAAAGGGAACAAUUCUGCAUAGCUCCUUCACCAGUUAGCUUUAAAUUAUUGAUAUGUUUAUCUCUAAGCACUCUUGACAAACUGAAGAAAGUUUUAUAGUGGAGAACCUGUGGCUACUGUCAGAUAAAGGACUAUUAAAAAUGGCUAUAGGAGAUAUUUUGUGGUGGGUAACUUAUGUGGAAGGCCUAGGAACAGAACCAGCGUGUUGACGCUACAUUGCUGCAUGGUAAUUUGCAUGUAAAAUAACAGGAUGUGAGAAAAAUAGGGAGUGUUAAGAAUGACAUGGAAGUUUGUUAUGGAAACAAAAGAAAAACCAAAACAGUAAAGGUGAUGUACCUUCAACUCUUAGCUUAAGUUUUAUUUAGAGGCUUAGUAGAAGAAAGAGGGCAAAAUAGCAAUAUUCACAUUUUCUCCUCACCUUUUUUGGGAAGAAAAUAAAUCUUGAGUUUUCCUGCCGGUAUUCAUCAGGAAAUGUCCUUUGGAAAAUAGUGGUAAAGACACAUUUCAAGGUUGUUUUGUUUUGUUUUCAAGGAAGUUUGGUAACAGAAAGAAAAACAUUAUAGGAAAGAACGCAGUCUCCUUUUCAUGGCCUGGGAAACGAGGAACCAAAGGUAGGCUAAGAAAGCUGGAGAACGUUCGCCGUCUUUGUGAGUAGGGUCUCGGGACAUAAGUAUGGAAGCUACAUUUAGGAGUAUGGCGUUUCCAAACUCACAAGCAAGUGGAAACUCUAGAGCGCAAAAUGACCUUCUGAAAAUGCAGCUUUUGUUUUUGUUUCGAAUUCUUCACAUCGCUGUUCUGCUCUUUAACAGCUAGGGAGGGUAGGGACGGUGUGGAUUUUUAAGGUCUAAAAGCACGGAUGCAUUGGGCGGAUUGCCAGCUGCGACAAAGAGGAAUGUGUAGGGCCUGUAGGUCUUGGUCUGGGCUGGACUUUGCUUUGCCCCCCCCCCCAGAAAGUCUUCAAAACCUGAACUCGUUAGUGUUGACUAAAGCCUAAAAACACAGCAGGGUUUGUUUUUCAAGUUACAAUGUUGAAGUACAAUGUAUAGAUUGUUAUAAUCCAGAAAAGAUACCCAUACUUGUAUUAGGCUUCUAGGUCUGUUAGUGGAAAUUAUGCAAAUAGUGGGGGGAAAAGGACUGUUCUGAAUAGUUUUUUCAGUUAUAACUGUGAAAUUGCCAUGUGGCUAUGACCAUGUGGGUGUGGCGUAAAUUAUAUUAAUGUAAUUAAACUUAAAUCAAUUGUAUUUGUUUGCCUUUCAUUUACAUGUAGCAUAUAAAUCACCUUUCUAAAAUGUGUUGCCAAAGUUUAUUUGCCAACAUUGAUUUGGCAAAAUAUUCUUUAAAAUCAUUGUCAUUUUUCACACGUAUAAAUUCUUAAGUACCUUAUAUAUUCAAGUGUAAAUGUAAUCCCACUUUCCAUCAACCGUUCAUUUGUUCCAGACCCUUGUGUUAAAUGCUUCAAAGUUUUAUCCAUUUUUUCUGUGGGGGAAAAUUUUUUUUUUGGAGGGAUCAGUUUUGAAUUCCUAUGCUCUGUGCUGGGAACGUGUCUCAAGUUCCAUUUUAAAAAUGACUUCGGAGAACUGUUAGCAUGUAAUUUAAACAAGUUAUUUUUUCAAAGUGGAAUUUAAUUUUUUUGAAAUGAAUCUUGGUGGAGAAUGAGUAGGCCUAGGCUAACUCUUCAAUAUCAGAGGACAUUUACUUUCCUUUCUAAGGCUGGACAGGGGUUUAAUUUCACGGUAAUAUGAUAAUAAGAAAACGCAUCAAAGCAGAUGGGGGAAGGAAUGGUUAAAGUUUACCAUUGAGCCCUUUUUGCCUUUUCAGGGCCGCACCCGUGGCAUAUGGAAGUUCCUGGGCUAGGGGUUGAAUUAGACCUACAGCCACUGGUCUAUACCCCAGCCACAGCAACUCGGGCUCUGAGCCGAGUCUGUGAUCCACACCACAGCUCAUGGCAAUGCUGGAUCCUUAACCCACUGAACAAGGCCAGGGAUCGAACCCGUGUCGUCAUGGAUACUAGUCAGGUUCUUUAACCUCUGAGCCAUGAUGGGAACUCCACCAUUGAACCCUUGAGCACAAAUACGUAUCUGUAUUUUUCUCUAGCUUUUCAGUUGCUCACAUACCCAUGUCUGUGGAAAGUGACCUAAGUUUUUGGUCGAGUUACAUUUUAUUGUAUUUAUUAGAUUCACUUAUCUGGAUGACUGCAACAGAAAUAAAAAUUCACGUCUUUAGAAGCCAAACUGUGAUGACCUGCUUUUGUUGGAAUGAGACUGCUUGACUUUUUGGCAGCUCCCCUUGGUUGGUAGAUGGUUGAAACGGUUCGUUGAUGCUCACAGCUGAGUGUUUCGGGCUGUGGAAUCAUGGCAUUGUCCCAUCUUCAAGAAUGACUCACCUUCUGCUAGAUUUCUGUAUAGGAUUUAGCAGCUUGCUGUGUCCUAAAUUAGCUUCAUUUCUGCCGAAGUGCUCUUGUGUACACUGGUUUUGUAAUUUGCCAAAGUACUAAUUGGGGGUAGAGCACUUCUGCAGCGGGUUGAUGUCGUCACUGCUUGGACCAUUGUUUUAAAUGUAUGUAUUAGAGUUGCACGCAUACUGAAAUCACAUAUCUCGGUGUUCAAAACAACAUUCGAAUAAAGGAAAUGCAUUAAACACUUUAAAA